rnacentral:rRNA from 1 species
UACGUAGGGGGCAAGCGUUGUCCGGAAUUAUUGGGCGUAAAGAGCGUGUAGGCGGUCCGGUAAGUCAGCUGUGAAAGUCAAGGGCUCAACCCUUGAAUGCCGGUUGAUACUGUCGGGCUAGAGUCCGGAAGAGGCGAGUGGAAUUCCCGGUGUAGCGGUGAAAUGCGUAGAGAUCCGGCGGAACACCGGUGGUGAAGGCGGUCUCCUGGGCCGAGGGCCGACGCUGAGGCGCGAGAGCGUGGGGAGCGAACCGG